UGGGGAAUAUUGGGCAAUGGGGGGAACCCUGACCCAGCAACGCCGCGUGGAGGAAGAAGGUUUUCGGAUCGUAAACUCCUGUCCUUGGAGACGAGUAGAAGACGGUAUCCAAGGAGGAAGCCCCGGCUAACUACGUGCCAGCAGCCGCGGUAAUACGUAGGGGGCAAGCGUUGUCCGGAAUAAUUGGGCGUAAAGGGCGCGUAGGCGGCUCGGUAAGUCUGGAGUGAAAGUCCUGCUUUUAAGGUGGGAAUUGCUUUGGAUACUGUCGGGCUUGAGUGCAGGAGAGGUUAGUGGAAUUCCCAGUGUAGCGGUGAAAUGCGUAGAGAUUGGGAGGAACACCAGUGGCGAAGGCGACUAACUGGACUGUAACUGACGCUGAGGCGCGAAAGUGUGGGGAGCAAACAGGAUUAGAUACCCUGGUAGUCCACACUGUAAACGAUGAAUGCUAGGUGUAGGGGGUAUCGACCCCUUCUGUGCCGCAGUCAACACAAUAAGCAUUCCGCCUGGGGAGUACGGCCGCAAGGUUGAAACUCAAAGGAAUUGACGGGGGCCCGCACAAGCAGCGGAGCAUGUGGUUUAAUUCGACGCAACGCGAAGAACCUUACCAGGUCUUGACAUCCACUUAAACUUACAGAGAUGUAAGGUGUGCUUGCACAAAGUGAGACAGGUGGUGCAUGGUUGUCGUCAGCUCGUGUCGUGAGAUGUUGGGUUAAGUCCCGCAACGAGCGCAACCCUUAUCUUCAGUUACUAACGCGUGAAGGUGAGGACUCUGAAGAGACUGCCGGGGACAACUCGGAGGAAGGUGGGGACGACGUCAAAUCAUCAUGCCCCUUAUGACCUGGGCUACACACGUGCUACAAUGGCCACGACAGAGAGAAGCGAAAUCGCAAGGUAGAGCGGAACUCAAAAAAGUGGUCCCAGUUCGGAUUGUGGGCUGCAACCCGCCCACAUGAAGUCGGAGUUGCUAGUAAUCGCGGAUCAGCAUGCCGCGGUGAAUACGUUCCC
rnacentral:rRNA from 1 species